rnacentral:rRNA from 1 species
UGGGGAAUAUUGGACAAUGGGGGAAACCCUGAUCCAGCAAUGCCGCGUGUGUGAAGAAGGCCUGAGGGUUGUAAAGCACUUUCGCUGGGGAGGAGUGAUUGAUUAGUUAAGAGCUGAUUAAUUGGACGUUACCCAGAUAAGAAGCACCGGCUAACUCCGUGCCAGCAGCCGCGGUAAUACGGAGGGUGCGAGCGUUAAUCGGAAUUACUGGGCGUAAAGGGUGCGUAGGUGGUUGAAUAAGUUAGCUGUGAAAGACCUGGGCUUAACCUAGGGGUGUCAGCUAAGACUGAUUGACUAGAGUAUGGGAGAGGGUAGUGGAAUUUCCGGUGUAGCGGUGAAAUGCGUAGAGAUCGGAAGGAACACCAGUGGCGAAGGCGGCUACCUGGCCUAAUACUGACACUGAGGCACGAAAGCGUGGGGAGCAAACAG